ensembl:lncRNA
UCUGCCUGCCUUGGCCUCCAAAAGUGUGGGAUUACAGGCCUGAGCCACUGCACCCAGCCCUGCUCCACUAUUCUGACGGUCCUAUGGCUGUCCCCACCUAGAUGUCCCCAAAACACUCCUGCAAUUAAGCAUGUGCUCAUAGCCUUCCAGCUCUCCACCCAACCCCACCAUACCCCUGGCCUUGGGACAGCCCUUGUUCCAUUUGCCACACUUCAGGUUUACUCUCAGCCUGCUCCCCUUCCUCACCCUCAAUCCUAUUGGCCUGGAGUCCUGUCAGUGAUACCUCCUAAGUAUCCAUUGCCUCUCUUCAAACCUUCAUCAUCCUUACAUGAUUAUUGUAACAGCCUCACACUGACCUUCCUCUGCAUGUCACUCCUCCACUUUAACCUUCCACUAUGCCAAAGGAAUGCUCUUUUCCUGCUGAAAAUCCUUCAUGGCACCCCCUUGCCCUUUGGACAAAGUCAGCUCCUUGAUAGGUUCCACAGCACUGGGAUCUUCCUCUCUGCAUGGAGUCUGGGCAGACUUGUUCUCUGUGAGAAAGGGAAGCUCUUAAAAUUGACAGGCACAGUGACACUGGAAGCAUCUACUAUACAACUCUCACCUUAGUUACAUGGUCCCUGGUCCUAUUAAAGGAAAUGACACGCCUGCAGCAGUAAGAGGUAUCUGCGUGGAGGUUGCUUGUAUGAGAACAAGUGCAAUUUGAUCAGUUUCUCACUGCUCUACUGAGUUGAUAAUUAGCCUUUAAAACACAUUCGAGUGGGGAGAAAAUUAAAUUAGAAUGUAGAAAGACUUUUAUCAUAUCAUACUCAAAUCUUUUGCUUACAUGAGCAGUUCCUUCAUCACAAACGUCUUUGCUCUGCCAUGUGCAUUACAAAAAUAAAACUAUGGCUUGCUUAAAGUGCCAUUUUAUAAAGUUGUCUUUUUUCAUUAGCCAGAAAGACCCAAUUUUAUCCAUGGCAAGAAGUGAGCAGAAUUGGUGACUGAAUAUUGACAAAUGACCAACAACAAAGACAACAACAACGACAACAAAACAAAAUCCCAUAAUUUAAAAAUUUUUAAAUAAAUAUAAAAGUUAUUCCUAAAGAAGCCAUCUGCAUAACAAUAUAGGUUGUAACCUGCACUCAACAGCUAAAGUACCACUGGAAGAAAAAACUGAAACAAGAAGGCCAUAAACAGUUUCGGCAACAAGCAUGGUACAUUGCAAACUUUUUAAAAUUAAAUGUACACCACUAGGAAUAAAAAGCUACUUCUCAAGUGUGUCCUGGGAGGAAGGGGUGGAAUGGAGGAAUGGGGGGGAGGAGGGGAAACAUGCAUAGAAAGUCCUGUCUGAGUUUUGGGGUGGAACAGCCUUGUCAAGAGUAAAGUAGCUGAUUUAGGAAAGCAACUGGAUGGAAAGCUGUGACGUAAUGUGAUGAACUCCAGGUUCAAGAGUCACGCAUGUUGUAAGAGUGCAUCCUGGGCCGGCCGAGGGGAGCCAAGCUCACUGUGGUGAUCACGAAGAUGCCAUUUUCAGCUCUUAGCAACAGAAGGAAAGCUCUAGGGAAAGGAAGGAGCAGAAGACAAUUUCGCAACAUGAUGGAUGCCUUCUGGGGAGAUUUUCUUCUUAAGGGCCCUAAGCAUUGCAACAGGGCUGAGUUCCAUGAAGAAGUUGGUUGCUUUUCAUAAAAUUUUGUUCAGGUGUAAAAUUUCAGGUCCUCAUAAAAAUUAUGCCAAAAAGGAAAGAUCUGGGUUUUCAUUAAAAAUAAAAACAAUUAAAAGCACAAACUUGGCAUAAAUACACUCUUAAGAAAGAUGGUAGCUUUACCCUCAAAAGAGGGAGCAAAAGAGAACCAUCACUUAAACCCCCAGCUCCACAGCCAUCUCCCCCAACUGCUGAAUGCGAGUUUGAUGGGCGUAUGUGGCUCUGGCUUUGGAAGUCACAGUACUGGCGGGUGUUGGUGCCAGGGGGUCAGUGCUUGUGAAAUUUGGGUGUGAUAUUACUUGGCCCUUUCUUAAAGCGCUGUGUGUGUGUUUUUGUGUGUCCGUGUGUGUGCAUGUGUGUGCCUGUGAGUGUUUGCAUUUGGGGACAUCAACUGCAGACUGAUUUGAUCCAAUUUUCUCUUGCACCAUACACAUAUAAAACAUUACAACUCUAUAAAAGUACAAGUGCAACUUGUACAUCUGAAGUUUGCAGGAACUAUGUGAGCAAAUCCUAUCAAAAUAGCUAUCUCAUAUGUAUAAACAGCAUUUGUUUUUAGAAAAACAAUAUCAUAAACUGCAGAAUCUGUACAAAAAUAUAAAAUAAAUUUGGGCAGCAGUUUUCUAAACAGCCAUGUAAAUGCAACACUUAUGAGGAGUAGUUAAUGCCUCUAAAAAGGCCCAAUUGCCAAGUCAACCUAUACAGGGCGAAAAUGCCAGGAAAGGUACUGAGAUUAUCUAAAUAAGAUAUAUAUAUAUAUAUAUAUAUAUAUUUUUUUUUUCUUCUUUACCUCUUGCAAUAAAACUUAUAGAAAAAAUAGACAAAUAUGCACAUGCAAUUUACAGCUUUUCCAACUUAAUCCUUGUGCUUCACUUGAACUGUUUAUUUUUGUCAUUCAACAUUGCAACAUUGUCUUCGAAUGGAUUCUUUCCUAUACCAGGGUAGUAGGUCUCUGAGGAACCACUCCAAAAAGUGUAUUAAAAGUGGUCAUACUUGGAUGAAGGCACUCCAACUCUGCUCAAAGCAAAAACUAGUGUGAUCCUGUUGUAAAAUUUUCUUUUUCUCUGAAAAAGGCAAGCAAGGGUGCAUGCACAGUGUGGAGAACUGUCAGGGUUGCGGGAACGCUCCGGGGUCUGGGUGGGCAC